GCUAAAAAGCUCGUAGUUGGAUUUCUGCUGGGAACAACUGGUCCGCUCUAUGAGCGUGCAUCUAGUUUGGUUCCGGCAUCCGCUCUGCAUACGUGUCUGCGCUUGAUUGCGUGGCGCGGAGGUAGGGCCUUUUACUUUGAGGAAAUUAGAGUGUUCACGGCAGGCAGUCGCCUUGAAUAUAUUAGCAUGGAAUAAUAAUAUAGGAUCUUGGUUCUAUUUUGUUGGUUUCUAGAGCUGAGAUAAUGAUUAAUAGGG
rnacentral:rRNA from 1 species